AUUGAACGCUGGCGGCAGGCUUAACACAUGCAAGUCGAGCGGGGACUUCGGUCCUAGCGGCGAACGGGUGAGGAAUGCUUGGGAAUCUGCCCAGUAGCGGGGGAUAACGUUUCGAAAGGAACGCUAAUACCGCGUACGCCCUACGGGGGAAAGGGGGGGAUCUUCGGACCUCUCACUAUUGGAUGAGCCCAAGUCGGAUUAGCUAGUUGGUGGGGUAAAGGCCUACCAAGGCGACGAUCCGUAGCUGGUCUGAGAGGAUGAUCAGCCACACUGGAACAAAGACACGGUACAGACUCCUCCGGGAGGCAGCAGUGGGGAUUAUGGGACAAGGGGCGAAGCCGUGAUCCGGCAAGGCGGCGGGUGUGAAGAAGGCCUUCGUGUUGUAAAGCACUGUAAGCGAGGGGAAAUGGCUUUUGUUUAAUACCCUUGAGCAGUGACGUUACUCGCAGAAUAAGCACCGGUUAACUCUUUCCCACCAGCCGCCGAAACAC
rnacentral:rRNA from 1 species